GCUCUCAUGGUGUAGUGGUCACUGCACUCGCCUUGCACGCGGGAGACCCGGGUUCGAUUCCCGGCGGGGUCA
rfam:Asian citrus Psyllid, Diaphorina citri - Florida Strain, whole genome shotgun sequence.